AUUGAACGCUGGCGGCAGGCCUAACACAUGCAAGUCGAGCGAGCGGCGGACAGGUGAGUAAUGUAUGGGGACUGCCCGAUAGAGGGGGAUCACUACUGGAAACGAUAGCUAAUCCCGCAUACUAUCGGAUAACCCAUAUGGGAUUAGCUAGUAGGUGAGGUAAUGGCUCACCUAGGCGACGAUCCCUAGCUGGUCUGAGAGGAUGAUCAGCCAAACUGGUACUGAGACACGGCCCAGACUCCUACGGAGGCAGCAGUGGGGAAUCUUGCACAAUGGGCGCAAGCCUGAUGCAGCCAUGCCGGGUGUAUGAAGAAGGCCCUAGGGUUGUAAAGUACUUUUAGUCGGGAGGCGUUAUCGAAAGAAGAAGCCCCGGCUAACUCCGUGCCAGCAGCCGCGGUAAUUC
rnacentral:rRNA from 1 species